rnacentral:rRNA from 1 species
GAUGAACGCUGGCGGCGUGCCUAAUACAUGCAAGUCGAGCGAACAGACGAGGAGCUUGCUCCUCUGACGUUAGCGGCGGACGGGUGAGUAACACGUGGAUAACCUACCUAUAAGACUGGGAUAACUUCGGGAAACCGGAGCUAAUACCGGAUAAUAUAUUGAACCGCAUGGUUCAAUAGUGAAAGACGGUUUUGCUGUCACUUAUAGAUGGAUCCGCGCCGCAUUAGCUAGUUGGUAAGGUAACGGCUUACCAAGGCAACGAUGCGUAGCCGACCUGAGAGGGGGUCCGGCCACACUGAAAUGGAGACACGGCCCAGACCCCUACGGGGGGCGGAAGUAGGAAAUCUUCCGAAAUGGGCGAAAGCUGGACGGAGAAAGGCCGCGUGAGUGAGGAAGGUCUCCGGUUGGUAAACCUCUGUAUUAGGGAAGAACAAAUGUGUAAGUAACUAUGCACGUCUUGACGGUACCUAAUCAGAAAGCCACGGCUAACUACGU